rnacentral:rRNA from 1 species
UACGAAGGGGGCUAGCGUUGUUCGGAGUUACUGGGCGUAAAGGGCGCGUAGGCGGCGCACCAAGUCAGGCGUGAAAGCCCUGGGCUCAACCCGGGAAUUGCGCUUGAGACUGGUGUGCUCGAGUACGGGAGAGGAUAGUGGAAUUCCCAGUGUAGAGGUGAAAUUCGUAGAUAUUGGGAAGAACACCGGUGGCGAAGGCGGCUAUCUGGACCGUAACUGGACGCUGAGGCGCGAAAGCGUGGGGAGCAAACAGGAUUAGAAACCCU